CUCAUUUGCUCUGAAGGAAGCUGACCAGCACAUUGUGAGGACACGCAAGCAGCCCCAUGGGGAGUCCAUGUGGGGAGGGACUGAGGCCUCCUGCUAUUGGCCAGCAUCAUCUUGCCGAUAGCCAGAUGAAGAGACGAGGCUGAGAAAGAGCCCAGGACAAGGUGGUGACAAAAGCAGGAUGCAGGACCCAAAUUCCCCUUCGAGAGCUCUUCCUCCUCCAGCCGGGAAAUUCCGUUCGGCUCAUUGUCUUUGGCCUCAAACUCCCGGGGGAAGGGACGGAACCUGGGAGGCUGAGGAAAACCAGAUGCCUAAUCGAUGCUCCUGCAUUUGACAAGGGCGCUGGGGGUGGACGGGCCUGGAGCUGCGCGGCAAACAUUUCAGACUCUUUUGCAUCCUGAAAAUGGCUCUGGGUGUGGAGACAGCCCGGGGAGGAGGCCGUCUGGGACCAUAUGACGCUUGCCAGUGGCAUGAAGGCUGUUAGAGCCAUGGUAGCAACAUUACUUACCCUCCUCCCUUCUCUUGAACAGUGACGAGGCUCCCCCCACUUCACGGGAAGCACACGAAAUCUGGCCCCCAGAGAGGUGGGAUUGAAAACCUGACAGUUUGGACAUACAGCCCGUGGGCAAUGUUUCCCUUCUCCCGGGCUUGUGUCUGUGCCAAGAAUUCCUAACAAAG
rnacentral:lncRNA from 1 species